rnacentral:rRNA from 1 species
CAACGCCGCGUGAGUGAUGACGGCCUUCGGGUUGUAAACCGCUUUCAGCAGGGAAGAAAUUGACGGUACCUGCAGAAGAAGCCCCGGCCAACUACGUGCCAGCAGCCGCGGUAACACGUAGGGGGCGAGCGUUGUCCGGAUUUAUUGGGCGUAAAGAGCUCGUAGGCGGUUCGCUAAGUCGGGUGUGAAACCUCCAGGCUCAACCUGGAGACGCCACCUGAUACUGGUGUGACUAGAGUCCGGUAGGGGAGUGUGGAACUCCUGGUGUAGCGGUGAAAUGCGCAGAUAUCAGGAAGAACCCCCAGCGGCGAAGGCGGCACUCUGGGCCGGUACUGGCGCUGAGGAGCGAAAGCGUGGGUAGCAAACAGGAUUAGAUACCCUGGUAGUCCACGCCGUAAACGUUGGGCACUAGGUGUGGGUCUCAACCAACGAGAUCCGUGCCGCAGCUAACGCAUUAAGUGCCCCGCCUGGGGAGUACGGCCGCAAGGCUAAA